GAUCAACGCUAACUCCUAGAAAACAUUUGUACAGGUCACACUGAACAGCAGAUUGUUGUCUCAAGCCAGUGCUGAUCAAUGACAGUUUAUCUGCAGUAUGUCAGAGAAGAGAGGAAAGAUGAGUCUCUCACAGAAACAGAGUGUAAGAUCAGGAUCACAUGUGUCUGUGAAGAGUGACGCGGUCAAAGGGUGAAGGACCAAACUUCAGUGAGAAAAAAACAUCAAUCAAAAGUGUAAGAUCAGGCUCACAUGUGUCCAGCUCUGUGUCUGUGAAGAGUGACCAGUCAAAGAGAGAAGCACCAGACUUCAGUGAAGAAACAUCACGAGCCAAACGGCUUCAGUAUGAAACAUUAGAUCCAGAUUUACAGUCUCACAGGAACCGCAAGAAUUUUACAGACAGUCUCCUGCAGAUCUUCCAGGAUCUUGAGAGCAAAAUAUUCAAAUUUCUGAAGAAAGAACUGGAAAAGUUUAAGAAAAUAUUACAAAAAAGAGGACAUGCAAUACUUUGUGAAGGACUUUAAUGAGAAACAGAUGCAGUAUGAAAGAAGCAGCUCUUGAUCUCACGCUCUACUUCCUGAGAGAGAUGAAGCAAGAUGAAGCUGCUGAUACUCUAGAAGAUGAGCUGGUCUUUAUUCAUCAGCUAAAGUGUAGCCUAAAGAAGAAGUGUCAAUGUGUGUUUGAAGGAAUUGCAAAGCAGGGUGACUCUACACUUCUAAAGAACAUCUACACAGAUCUCUAUAUCACUCAGGGUUGUAGUGAACAGGUCAAUACUGAACAUGAGGUGAGGACAGAUUGAAGUUGCUUCCAGACGUCAUGAAUCACAGGAGAUACAGGUUGAGUGCAAAAAUGUGUUUGAAGCACCUGAACAAGACAAGCAGAUCAGAACUGUACUGACAAAAGGAAUUGCUGGCAUCGGAAAAUCAGUCUCUGUGCAGAAGUUUGUUCUGGAUUGGGCCGAAGGAAAAGAAAAUCAAGAUAUCAGCUUCAUAUUUCCUCUUCCAUUCAGAGAGAUGAACUUAAAGGAGCAAGAAAAACUAAGUUUGAUUGACCUUAUAACUCAGUUUUUCCCAGAAACAGAAAGACUGAACCUUACAAGAAGAAAUCAAUUCAAAGUCUUGUUCAUUCUUGAUGGAUUGGAUGAAUGUCGACUUCCUGUAAACUUUAAGGAUAAUGAGACGUGGUCUGAUGUAUCAUCCCCAGCCUCUCUGGAUGUUCUCCUAACGAACCUCAUCAAGGGAAAAUCUGCUUCCUUCUGCUCUC